rnacentral:rRNA from 1 species
ACAGCAGCAGCCGCGGGAAUACAGAGGGUGCGAGCGUUAAUCGGAUUUACUGGGCGUAAAGCGUGCGUAGGCGGCUUCUUAAGUCGGAUGUGAAAUCCCUGAGCUUAACUUAGGAAUUGCAUUCGAUACUGGGAAGCUAGAGUAUGGGAGAGGAUGGUAGAAUUCCAGGUGUAGCGGUGAAAAGCGUAGAGAUCUGGAGGAAUACCGAUGGCGAAGGCAGCCAUCUGGCCUAAUACUGACGCUGAGGUACGAAAGCAUGGGGAGCAAACAGGAUUAGAUACCCCGGUAGUCCCUGUCUCUUAUAC